AUUGAACGCUGGCGGCAGGCCUAACACAUGCAAGUCGAGCGGCAGCGGAAAGUAGCUUGCUACUUUGCCGGCGAGCGGCGGACGGGUGAGUAAUGUCUGGGAAACUGCCUGAUGGAGGGGGAUAACUACUGGAAACGGUAGCUAAUACCGCAUAAUGUCGCAAGACCAAAGAGGGGGACCUUCGGGCCUCUUGCCAUCAGAUGUGCCCAGAUGGGAUUAGCUAGUAGGUGGGGUAAUGGCUCACCUAGGCGACGAUCCCUAGCUGGUCUGAGAGGAUGACCAGCCACACUGGAACUGAGACACGGUCCAGACUCCGACGGGAGGCAGCAGUGGGGAAUAUUGCACAAUGGGCGCAAGCUUGAUGCAGCCAUGCCGCGUGUAUGAAGAAGGCCUUCGGGUUGUAAAGUACUUUCAGCGGGGAGGAAGGUGUUGAGGUUAAUAACCUCAGCAAUUGACGUUACCCGCAGAAGAAGCACCGGCUAACUCCGUGCCAGCCGCCGCGGUAA
rnacentral:rRNA from 1 species